GUCUUUCUAGUAUAAAUGCUAGUUCCUGUGACUUCCAAUCACCCGGUCUUGGUUAAAAUCCAAGGAAAGAUA